rnacentral:rRNA from 1 species
UGCACAGAUGACGACCGGCGAACGGGUGCGUAACGCGUAUAGAAUCUACCUCUUACUAAGGGAUAGCCCAGAGAAAUUUGGAUUAAGACCUUAUAGUAUAUAGGACUGGCAUCAGUUUUAUAUUAAAGAUUACGGUAAGAGAUGACUAUGCGUCCUAUUAGCUAGAUGGUGUGGUAACGGCACACCAUGGCAACGAUAGGUAGGGGCCCUGAGAGGGGGAUCCCCCACACUGGUACUGAGACACGGACCAGACUCCUACGGGAGGCAGCAGUGAGGAAUAUUGGACAAUGGAGGCAACUCUGAUCCAGCCAUGCCGCGUGCAGGAUGACUGCCCUAUGGGUUGUAAACUGCUUUUAUACAGGAAGAAACCAUCUCACGUGUGAGAUCUUGACGGUACUGUAAGAAUAAGGAUCGGCUAACUCCGUGCCAGCAGCCGCGGUAAUACGGAGGAUCCAAGCGUUAUCCGGAAUCAUUGGGUUUAAAGGGUCCGUAGGUGGAUAAUUAAGUCAGAGGUGAAAUCCUGCAGCUCAACUGUAGAAUUGCCUUUGAUACUGGUUAUCUUGAGUUAUUAUGAAGUAGUUAGAAUAUGUAGUGUAGCG